AGCGAACGCUGGCGGCAGGCCUAACACAUGCAAGUCGAACGAAGUCUUCGGACUUAGUGGCGGCCGGGUGAGUAACACGUGGGAACGUACCUUUUGGUUCGGAACAACUCAGGGAAACUUGAGCUAAUACCGGAUGAGCCCUUAGGGGGAAAGAUUUAUCGCCGAAAGAGCGGCCCGCGUUAGAUUAGCUAGUUGGUGGGGUAAAGGCUCACAAAGGCUACGAUCUAUAGCUGGUCUGAGAGGAUGAUCAGCCACACUGGGACUGAGACACGGCCCAGACUCCUACGGGAGGCAGCAGUGGGGAAUCUUGCGCAAUGGGCGAAAGCCUGACGCAGCCAUGCCGCGUGAAUGAUGAAGGUCUUAGGAUUGUAAAAUUCUUUUACCAGGGACGAUAAUGACGGUACCUGGAGAAAAAGCCCCGGCUAACUUCGUGCCAGCAGCCGCCGCAGUAA
rnacentral:rRNA from 1 species